rnacentral:rRNA from 1 species
UACGAAGGGGGCUAGCGUUGUUCGGAAUUACUGGGCGUAAAGCGCACGUAGGCGGAUGUUUAAGUCGGGGGUGAAAUCCCAGGGCUCAACCCUGGAACUGCCUUCGAUGCUGGACGUCUUGAGUCCGAGAGAGGUGAGUGGAAUUCCUAGUGUAGAGGUGAAAUUCGUAGAUAUUAGGAAGAACACCGGUGGCGAAGGCGGCCCACUGGUCCGGUACUGACGCUGAGGUGCGAAAGCGUGGGGAGCAAACAGG